CUUCAUCCUGGCCCUUCUCUCUUGGGACGCUCACCAUGGAACCUAGCUGAGAGGAAGCCCAGGCAACGUGGUGAUGCCACACAUGGGUAUUCUGCUCAACAGCCCCAGCUAAGGUCCCAGCCAACAGCCAGCUUUGACUACCAGACAUGUGAAUGAAUGAACCUUCAGAUAACUCCAGCCCCACCUUUGAGUCUUUCAGCUGAGCCUCAGACACUAUGGAGCAGACUAACUGUCCUCAAAAUGCCGUGUGUGAAUUCCUGACCUACAGGAACCAUGAAAAUACUUCCUCAACUGGCUCUGUGUGCUGUGCCUCCUGUUUCUAGAGAACGAAUGCAGCAGCUGUGAUGCAAUUCCAGGCCCAGGCCUUAAGAAGAUCUGGCAGCUUCUGCUUUUGCUCCCUGGGGGAAGCCAGCCCGCUGUGAGCAGUCCAACUAUCCUGAGAGAUCACCUGGAGAGGCCAAGCAGAGGAGAACUGAGGAACCCAGCCAACACCAAGGACUGAAGCCUAGAUAUAUGACCCCACUUGAAUUGUUCCAACCAGACCUCAGCUUUUUGAGCCAUUCCAGCUGAGGGCCCAGACAUCACAGAACAGAGAUGAGCUAUUCCCACCAUGCUCUGAUCAAGUUACUGACCCACAAAGCCAUGUUCCAAUGAAAUGCUGUUUUAAGC
rnacentral:lncRNA from 1 species